CCACUCUUUUCUGAUCAAUAAAAACACAUUCAAAAUUGAAUUUUGAUCUUCUUAAACCAAAUUCAGAUUCAACAGCUCGUGUCCACUGUGGGACAUUACGAAGUAGUUAACAAUGAUUCAACCACCAUACACCAACCUGCGCCAGCAACAUAGACACCGACCAUGACAGAAAUGAUGCAAAUGAUCAUGGAGCGUCUCGCAGCAGGAAGAAGCGUAAAAGGCGAAGAAUGAGUGUCUCGCCGCAACGCCCCCAGUCGUCGAUGUCAUCGCACCAACAAUUCGAAGACAACUUUUCACCACCAAAAACCCUUUGGCCAGCAGAGGAGAGCAGGCGACUGGCGAAGUAAACCCGUCAAAUAACGAUACUGAAACAACCACAAAACGUCAAAUCGCCGACUUUCAACUUUCGAUACAAGAUAUCAACUCCAAAAUCCACUACGUCACCAGCUUGGCCCCACAGAUCGAACACGUUCUCACCGUGAUGCUAAAGACUCCUUUUUCAAAGCAAAUUACUGAUGUUUAAAGUCCAACCAACGGAUAAGAUCCGUAUUCUUUUUACUCCGGCGACAUAGAUCCCACUGGCCAUGUGACAAUUCGUUCAACAUAGCCAUGAGACGAGC
rnacentral:lncRNA from 1 species